GACGAACGCUGGCGGCGUGCCUAACACAUGCAAGUCGAGCGGAGGUACUGAAGGAGUAAUCUGGAGGUACUUUAGCGGCGGACGGGUGAGUAACGCGUGAGCUACCUACCUUACACAGGGGGAUAACGGAGGGAAACCUUCACUAAUACCGCAUAAGACCACAGCACCGCAUGGUGCGGGGGUCAAAGGAGCAAUCCGGUGGAAGAUGGGCUCGCGUCCUAUUAGAUAGUUGGUGGGGUAACGGCCUACCAAGUCUACGAUCAGUAGCCGGACUGAGAGGUCGGACGGCCACAUUGGAACUGAGAUACGGUCCAGACUCCUACGGGAGGCAGCAGUGGGGAAUAUUGGGCAAUGGGCGAAAGCCUGACCCAGCGACGCCGCGUGAGGGAAGAAGGUCUUCGGAUUGUAAACCUCUGUUGACAGGGACGAAGGAAGUGACGGUACCUGUUGAGGAAGCCACGGCUAACUACGUG
rnacentral:rRNA from 1 species